GGUCUUGGCAUCCCGGAGACCCUUAGGAAACUAGGGGUGCUUCCAUCUGGAAGAAUCUGGAGACAGGUGCUGCAUGGCUGUCGUCAGCUCGUGUCGUGAGAUGUUGGGUUAAGUCCCGCAACGAGCGCAACCCUUGCCUUUAGUUGCCAGCAGUUCGGCUGGGCACUCUAAAGGGACUGCCGGUGUUAAACCGGAGGAAGGUGGGGAUGACGUCAAGUCCUCAUGGCCUUUAUGACCAGGGCUACACACGUACUACAAUGGCCGAUACAAAGGGCAGCGACACUGCGAGGUGAAGCCAAUCCCGUAAAAUCGGUCUCAGUCCGGAUUGGAGUCUGCAACUCGACUCCAUGAAGUUGGAAUCGCUAGUAAUCGUGGAUCAGCAUGCCACGGUGAAUACGUUCCCGGGCCUU
rnacentral:rRNA from 1 species